GGGCCCGCACAAGCGGUGGAGUAUGUGGUUUAAUUCGAUGCAACGCGAAGAACCUUACCUACACUUGACAUGCUGAGAAGUUACUAGAGAUAGUUUCGUGCCUUCGGGAAUUGUGAUACAGGUGCUGCAUGGCUGUCGUCAGCUCGUGUCGUGAGAUGUUGGGUUAAGUCCCGCAACGAGCGCAACCCUUGUCCUUAGUUACCAGCGGGUUAAGCCGGGAACUCUAAGGAUACUGCCAGUGACAAACUGGAGGAAGGCGGGGACGACGUCAAGUCAUCAUGGCCCUUACGACCAGGGCUACACACGUACUACAAUGCUACGGACAAAGGGUUAAUCCCCAAAACUGUCUCAGUUCGGAUUGGGGUCUGCAACUCGACCCCAUGAAGUCGGAAUCGCUAGUAAUCG
rnacentral:rRNA from 1 species